GGCAGUUUGACUGCAGGAGAUCAGGCAGCAAUACUAUCUGGCUGUAGGGCUGCUGUGAGUGACCUGGAGGAACGUUAAUGACUUCCACUAUAUUCAGGCCUGAUGAGACCUCACCUGGAGUUUUGUGUCCAGUUUUGGGUACCAAAUUUUAAGCCUGACUAUAGAGAGGAUCCAGAGGAGAGCUACAAAAAGUAUUUGAGGUCUAGAAGAUAUGCCACGUUAGAAAAGUUUGGAAGAACUGGAAGUGUCUAGUCUACAGAAGAAAAGAUUGAAAGGAGUUAGAGAGAUUCCUAGACGUAUCCCUUCCUGCACGAGAAACAGACGAACCCACGGAGCUUCAACAACUCUGUGGGAGAGAGCGAAUUUGUCGUAGUCCUCUAACGAGGAUUUAAGUGGAGCUGUACCUGGAAAACUGUCCAGCCUACACCAUGACCACCUUUGGUAUACCUGACCCUGGUUCCCUGGACAGAUCUCCUGGCUGCUGACUUCCUGGCUUCUCUUGAUCCUGAAGUGACCCCUGGACUUGGCCGCCCAUAUCUGGCAUGACACUAAAGUCAUUUGUGUUGUAGCCUUCAGGAAAACUACUGUAUCAAUCACAUUCAUUCCAUUUUGAAAAUCAAAUAUAGAAAUGCAAUUGUAAGUUUUCAUCUAGAGUGUGUUGGUGAUUUCCAGGUCAAAUUAUUUUUUUUCAGGCAAAUUUUCUUUUUGUCUUUCCCAUUUGUCCUGCAUGCCUGACUUUGGAUUUGAAAUCCAAACUGUGAUCUUUGUGGUUUAUGUACCACCUGAAAAAGGUAGUGCAGAUGUUUACAGGGGGGUUACAAAGGUAGAAUUUAGCCCUGCAGCUGAAACUUAGUUGAUGAUAAACUGGUCAAAAAAUGGAAAAGCCAGUUUCAAGAAAAAAUUCUAAAACUGGUUGGCUUACAGGGCUCACCAAAGUUGUCAUUUUUCCCUACCUUUUAUUCUCUAUAGAACAGCAAACAAUGAUGGCCAAGUUUUGGGGGGGUUGUUUGUUUUUCUAUUUGUUGUUUUUAAGUAGUUUUUAGGUACCCACUUUGAAACAUUUUAAGGAGAUCUAACUUUUUUCAGAGGAUAAAGCUUAGUAUUGACUCCACUUACUGGUGUGUUGGGUGGAAUAUAAAUAGUCUCAUGUGGCACUUUUUACCAGGUGCCUCAAGACAGUCAUUAUGACACAACUGGCUCCAAAACUUAUUUUGGGGUGCUAACAGUGAUGAAAGUGUAUCUGGCAAGAUGCAAUUUGGGGAUAGGAUCUGGAGCAAACCUGUGUCACUUGCUGGCAAGCAGUUGAUGCAACAUAGUGGUCGAGGCUCUGAACAAUAUAUUUCUGCAGCAUUCUAGUCGCAUAUGCACACACUGUUCUUCAGUCAUUGCUGUCAUGACCCAAAGGUCUGGUUUUUUGGGGGGUUUUUUGUGUGUGCGCUUCAGCACUAAGAAUUAUUCCCGUGGGUUUACAGCUUCAUUGCACGGAGGAGUUCUGCUGCGCAGAGAACCCAUGUGCAAAGGAGUGUUCCCGCCACUUUUCAGCUGUCUUUGCAGGGUGCAUUUUCUUUGCAACACAGAAAUGCACGGUGCAAAGGAGUUCCUGCUCGUCGUAUGCAAAUUUGUGCCCCGCAAUUGGCUAGUGCUAAAUUAUUCACACGUGGCGGCUAGCGAUUGGCCUGCUAGCCAUAUAAGAGGCUUGAGCAGUUUCCGCCCAAGCCGAAAAGGACUCCGCAUCCAUCUCGUGGGGACUCUGGGUGUGCGUGGCAGGGUAAUAGAAACCCUGUGUGUUGCUCAGAGGAGUUUGGCGGCCUGAUCCACUGCCCACCUCUUCCCGUCUUCGAACGGAGCCUACUAUAAGACGUAUUGACGAGUUUUAUGCGUGCUUGUCCUGGACAUCCGGAGUUCUGUCUGCGUGGAGCCUAGCAAACUCCACGUGAUUGUUCGAGUUCUGUCUGCGUGGAGCCUAGCAAACUCCACGUGUGUUCGUGUUUUCUGUUGUAACCGCAACUCGAGCAAGUUCUCAGCCUGCACCGCGACCAUCUCGGUGUAAGUAAACAAUCUUAAA